CUAGCAAGUCUAACCCAACAAAAAGAAUUUAAGCCGGACCCCCCGAAACCAAACGAGCUACCCCGGAGCAACCUACGAGUUAAUCCCCCUCUGUGGCAAAAGAGCGGAAAGACCCCGAGGUAGAGGCAAUAAACCUAACGAGCUUGAAUAUAGCUGGUUACUUGAAAAAUGAACUUUAGUUCAACCAAAAGCUCCCAAACCACCAAGAAAUAAGCAUGCUUUUAUCAUAGUAAAUUAGGGUACAGCCUAAUUAAUAAGGGAAACAACCCACACAAAUGAAUAACGACCAAUAUAUCAGGACCACCGCCCAGUAGGCCUAAAAGCAGCCACCAAAAUAGCGUUAAAGCUUAACGACACCUAACCCACUAUUCCACUAAAUAAUCCAAAUUCAACACAAUAAUCAAGUUAAUCUAUAUUAGAUAAAUUAUUACUAGAAUGAGUAACAAGGACACAUCCUCAAAAUACAUGUGUAAAUCAAAAUGAAUACAUCACCGAUAUUUAACAAAUAUAUUAGCAAACUAAUAAUUAAACUGUUAACCCAACACAGGAGUAUUUAAGAUGACCCAAAGCUUAGGAAGGAACUCGGCAAACGAGGCCCC
rnacentral:rRNA from 1 species